rnacentral:lncRNA from 1 species
UAGAGGGGAAGUCCUAUACUGUGUGCUUCAUAGUGGUAUUUCUAAUGAUAACUUUUGUGGGAAAGCAGCCUCGUUAUAGCUGGAUCCUAGAUUAGUCCAGUGAAUUUUAAUAAGAAAUUACACUGUUGUAAACUCACCUCUUAUGCAUUGGUCAGUGAUGAGAUAUAUAUAUAAAUAGAUAGAUAGAUAAAAUUUGCUCUUAUAUAGCCAUUUAUUCAUCAUUGGCCCUGUUUGGCCCAUCCUCAGUGUGGCUGUGAGAUUAUUGAUAACUGGUCACUGUCAGAUAAAUCACAUUCUAUUAGGAAACACCUAUAUAGGUUAUGCAGAAACAUGCAGAAAUGCCACCUGUCCAUACUUACGUGGCUUUACAUAAACAAAAGACUGUCUUGUCUUUGUGGUGACUGAAUUUACAACGUCCUCCCCUGGAAAUGGAAAAGUACCUAUCAGGAGAUGUAUGACAAAAGAAAUUAUCAAGCCUGACUUCAUAUAUAUUAUGAACAGUCUAGAGGAAGCAUCUUUCUUAGAACUAAGGAGGUCUGCUGAACAUUGGCCACAUUCUGGACUUUCAUGAAAAUCAUGGACCCAGAGUUGGGGUUAAGCCACUUAGAAAAAGCUGUUGAAAACAUCUCAAAGGCCACUGAACAAUUUUUAAAUUACACUUAACAUGCCAGGUAUCUAGGUAUCUAGUGCUUUUAGCAAUAUUAUCAAUAUUAUCAAGGUCCCAGCUUCUUUGUGUCCUUCCCCCUUGCGAUCCUCUUUUUUUUUUUUUUUUUUUUUGCUUUUUAAAAAAUAGUGACAGAGUCUCACUCUGUCGCCCAGGCUGGAGUGCAGUGGCAGUCUUGGUUCACUGCAACCUCUGCCUUCCGGGUUCAAGCAAUUCUCCUGCCUCAGCCUCCCGAGUAGCUGGGACUACAGGUGUGCGCCACCACACUUGGCUAAUUUUUGUAUUUUUAGUAGAGAUGGGGUUUCACCAUUGUUGGCCAGGAUGGUCUUGAUCUCUUGAUCUCAUGAUCCACCCGCCUUGGCCUCCCAAAGUGCUGGGAUUACAGGCAUGAGCCACUGUGCCCAGCCCUUUUUUUUUUUUUUUUUUGACGGAGUCUCGCUCUCUUGCCCAGGAUGGAGUGUAGUGGCACGAUCUCGGCUUACUGUAACCUCCACCUCCUAGGUUCAAGCAAUUCUCCUGCCUCAGCCUCCUGAGUAGUGGGGAUUACAGGUGCCCGCCACCAUGUCUGGCUAAUUUUUGUGUUUUUAGUAGAGACGGGGUUUCACCAUGUUGGCCAGGCUGGUCUUGAACUCCUGACCUCAGAUGAUCCACCUGCCCUGACCUCCGACAGUGCUGGGAUUACAGGCAUAGCCACCGUGCCUGACCAGGGCUCUUUUAGCAAGGAAAACGUGAGGAAUGAAUGGCUGUUGGUGUGCAACAAAUCAUACUUGCUACAUGUUGUGAAACCUGAAGUUAUUUGUUAGUCUGUAUGAAGAAUGUACCCCAGAGAUGCACCCUGUAUCUGCCUUAUGUCUCUUACAAUGGAGGUUCUCUCCUGUUAUAUUGCUGAAUAAACUAUGUGAACUGCUAAAUUG